rnacentral:rRNA from 1 species
UUGGAGUCAACGCCAGAAAUCUUACCCGGAGAGACAGCAGAAUGAAGGUCAAGCUGAAGACUUUACCAGACAAGCUGAGAGGUGGUGCAUGGCCGUCGCCAGCUCGUGCCGUGAGAUGUCCUGUUAAGUCAGGUAACGAGCGAGAUCCCUGCCUCUAGUUGCCACCAUUACUCUCAGGAGUAGUGGGGCGAAUUAGCGGGACCGCCGCAGUUAAUGCGGAGGAAGGAAGGGGCCACGGCAGGUCAGUAUGCCCCAAAACUCUGGGGCCACACGCGGGCUGCAAUGGUAACGACAAUGUGUUCCGAAUCCGAAAGGAAGAGGUAAUCCUCAAACGUUACCACAGUUAUGACUGAGGGCUGCAACUCGCCCUCACGAAUAUGGAAUCCCUAGUAACUGCGUGUCAUUAUCGCGCGGUGAAUACGUCCCUGCUCCUUGCACACACCGCCCGU